rnacentral:lncRNA from 1 species
UCAAAUGUUGAGAAGCUGUCAAUUUCAGGAUAAAAAUAUUUAUCCAUAUAUUUUAAAAUAAUUAUAAAGCCACUAAAAUGCUACAAAUUUAUUAGUUAGUAAUGUAUAGGCGUCGAUAUCUUUAGUGAAGAAAUGUGUAUUACACGAAAAGGCCGCCAUUUGAUGUGUUUUCUAACAUCGUCGAUAUUCAAUACACGUUAGUAUAACCUACUGGUACAUAAAACUUCAUUAUAGAACAAGACAAGACCACAAUAGAUCUGAGAAGGUCGCAGUGGGUCAGGCCGAAAUCAACCUCUAGAAAUCUAAUCUAGAACAAGACAAAGACCUUACUUGCAAACUACCAUACAUAUCUUUUAAAAAGGAUGCUAAGUGUAAGUGAAAUCUCUACGUAAUCAUUCCCUAAAAUGUUUAGUGUAGUUUAGUUUUCAACAUUUUGCAGCAAGAAGUUUAGAUAAAUCUACAAUAUAUUAUCAUCAGACCAAACGAAGGAUAAUUAUUUAAAAGAAUAAGUUAUGUUAUGAUACAUAUAUAGAUUUGGAUGACAUCGCUUCAGGUGGUUUUACCAGUCAGGACUAACAGGGAUAUUAACCAAAACAAUGAAAAAAAGCUCAAAUAAAUUUGAUCCUAAUAACAAGAAUGUUGUUUAUGCAUAUGCUAACUAUAUAGUUAUUUUCAUGGACUUAAAUAGAUUAGUUUUUAUGUAUUUAUUGAUAGUAAUUAAUAUUUUUUGGUUCAUAUUGUAAUUACUAAUAAAAAGUAAAGAAUAUAAUGUAAGCAUGUAAAGUUAUAUUUAAAAAUUUGGUCUUAUACUGUCAGUUAUAAAUAAAAGUGUGUGAUUUAAAUUUGAUUUUUAUACAUGGCAUAAAAUUGUUAAGAUUCGUUUGAAGUUUUACAUAUUGUCGAGGUAAAAUUAUGCCUACUUAAUUUAUGUAUAACAAUAAUUACAGUUAUUUCAAUGUUAAAUUUAUAGCAGUAUAACUUUUUUAUAAUAAUGAUACUUAAACAUUAUGACUAUGACACUUGUUGUUUUAAAAAUAUAACAUUAAAUUGCAGAGCAAAAUAUAUUUUAAUUGAAUUAUGUGGUAUUAACUUGCUUUUAUUCAACUAAUAAUAAAUUUGUUGUAUAAAAAUGACUCCAUAACAUACAAACCUUAAUUAUACAGCACACAUAAAGAGCCCCUAUGCGUUUCAAGCUUCUUUCUAAGUUAUUUAUAAAAUAAGUGCACAAUUACAUACCUAAAAUGCUGAAACUACCUGAAGUAAUACUAAUUGAAACAAUCUUUCUAUCAAUAUAUUAAUAUAUUUCAAAAAUAGCAGGUAUGUAUCAUAUCAAUUUAAUUAUUACAUUUAUUUGUUUCAACCAUGGUUCAAAAUUUUCUCGUAUAAAAGCCGGCCUUCAAAUUUAAGUUUGUAGCUUAUUCAUAGUUCCAAAGACUUUCGUUAAAUCAUGCUUAUUUGUCAAAACUAACUACAGCAUAACUGGUAUAAUAGGGAAAGUUUACUUAUGGUAUAGGUAUCCCGUUCUCAUCAACAAACAAAGUUUUUCCAAUUGUUUCGACUGAAUUAAGUACUAAAAUUCUAAAUGUUAUUCCAACUUUAUUUCUUCUUACCUAUUAACUUACUUCUGUUGGCGUACUUUGCGCUAAAAGGUAACAUAAAAUAAAU